rnacentral:pre_miRNA from 1 species
UCUUCAUUCCUCGUUCUCUCUCACCGGUCAAAGUGACGAGAGAGUGUGUGCGAAAUGAAGAGA